GACGAACGCUGGCGGCGUGCUUAAUACAUGCAAGUCGAACGGAAAGGCCAUGCUUUUGUGUGGUGCUCGAGUGGCGAACGGGUGAGUAACACGUGAGUAACCUGUCCUUGACUUUGGGGUAACUUCAGGGAAAUGGGGCUAAUACCGGGUAGGAGCUCCUGCUGCAUGGGGGGGGUUGGAAAGUUUCGGUGGUUGGGGCUGGUCUCGAGGCUUAUCAGCUUGUUGGUGGGGUAGGGGCUUACCAAGGCUUUGACGGGUAGCCUGCCUGAGAGGGUGACCGGCCACAUUGGGACUGAGAUACGGCCCAGACUCCUACGGGAGGCAGCAGUGGGGAAUAUUGCGCAAUGGGCGGAAGCCUGAUGCAGCAACGCCGCGUGCGGGAUGACGGCCUUCGGGUUGUAAACCGCUUUCGCCUGUGACGAAGCGUGAGUGACGGUACUGGGUAAGGAAGCCCCGGCUAACUACGUG
rnacentral:rRNA from 1 species